CCAGGGAACCCAAUCUGAAAACCUCCGAGAAGGUGGAAAGGGAGUGAGGCCUAACGUGAUGGUGUUUGAAGUGAAGCCUUUGGGAGGUGAUUGGUCAUGAGGACAGAGCCCCAUCGGAGGGAUUCCUGCCCUUGUAGAGGAGGCUCCAGAGAGACCCUUCUGCCGUGAACGUGCAGAGGACGGCCAUGUGUGAAUCAGGAGGCCAGCCAGUCGCCAGAACUGGGAGAAAUCAACUGUCAUCCCUUUUUCUCCAGAUGUACUGAACUCUCAGGCUCAUAGGACUUGUGGGUGUCUUCCACGUAUUCCUGCCUCUGCUCGUGCAGUUUCUCCAUGCAGAAAACUUUCCCUGGAUUUCUGAAGGAUGUUAUUGCUGUUGCUACUUCUGCUCGGCUGCACACCACCCCACCCCAGGAAUUCUGAAUCUGACCUGCUACCAUGUUUAAGGAAAAGAAGAGUCCACAAGGUUAGUUUCUC
ensembl:lncRNA